rnacentral:antisense_RNA from 1 species
GGCGCCAGUUCUAAGCAUUGACCUCAACUAUGGUUGCUAACACAAGAAUCCGCACUGGUGACUUUUGAGCCAUCAAUCAUCCUUUCCUAACACAUGAUUCUUUUGGAAAAUGGUCUCAAAUAGUCAAGACCCCCUGCUGGGGGGAGCGUCUAUCCUGCUCUGUGGAAGAAAUGGGCAUGCCAGAUGCCUGGAAGAUCAGAGGCUCACAUUCCAGUUCAAAGUUAGAGAAACCUGAGAGGGGUGUACUGUUAUGACCAUCCAAGAUCCCAUCGCUGAGAAAGAUAAUGGCCCUGGAGACAAAGACUGAUGAAGAAAGAGAGUAUCCAGCUAUGAUGCAGAUGAAACAUGGGGCAUGGUUGCACUCACUACGCAGCCAAGGCUGGAAGCCACUCUGGAUCCAGCCACUCUGGCACAGCGUUCUUGCUCUAGGAAGGACAACUGAACAUGGCCACACAGGCCUCACAGCUGGCAUAUGGAGUCUGUUAAUAAGCUGAGCUUUGAGGCUUCAAAGGACUCUUGUAGCCUGUGCUGGAUCUAGCAGUGACCAGUAUGCCAGUGGCCAUGGAUGCCCAGGCCCAUGUUCAAUAGUGAAGCAGGUGCUAGCAGCAGAAGCAAUAGAAAUGGAAACUGGGAGAUCUGCUGUGGAUGAAUCUCAUUAUCUUCUUUCUCUGACCCUCUUUGGACUAAAUAAACUCGCAGUAUUCUUGACCAACAGAGGUAGGGUUGGAACAGAGCCUCAAAAGUCAUCAUUAGACUUCCUACUAAUAGGGCAUUAGAAGUUCAAGCGACUAACUAGGAAACAGGUUAGUAUUUGUACCCCUACACUGUGGAACAGAUUACAUACCAUUUGCUCUAUUUGGCAUCCUUUCCUUAGGCUAGAUUCCCAGAAGAAAGAUUACUGAUUCAAAGGGCAUGAACAUUUUUAUGACUCUUGGCCUAAAUUACUAGGCCAAGGUUUUUUCAAAGGGAUGCACUAAUUUUCCCUAUUUCCCCACACCCUUUCAGGUGAUAAAUAAUUGACUUGAUUUGUUUACAUUGACGCCAAGAAUUCUUGGGAAGAAGGAUCAAGGUGAAAAGUGGUAGCCCAUGGUGGGGAGGCCACACUCAGUGAAGUUGUGAAGUCAGCAGCAUUUUUAAGCCCAUUCAUUGCCAGUAGCCCUGAAAUGAGCAUUCUCAAGCUGCUUCCCAGGUCCCUCCUCCACUCUCUCAGGGACAUCCAUUCUAUACCAGCCCCCUCAGAUACUCAUGCCCUUGCCCUCCCUUCUCCAUGCUCAUUAAAACCAGCUUAAGAGCAGAUAUGACAUCAGUCACUUACCUUUUCAUGUGGCUCUAAAUCAAAGUGUCACCUCUCCCAAGCACAUGCUUGCAUCUUAGCUCUGAUUGAGGAAUGAAAAGCUUUGUUCUCUGUUAAAAGAACUUUGAGCUUAGAUGCCCCAGACUGAGAAAUCCACCAAAAGCUGGACCUUUGACUUGAGGGGCAAAGGACCCCCAUAGUCAGGCUGUGAUUUGAGGAGAAUCAAGAGGCCAGAGUUUCCAAGUUGGGACCCAGAAGGUGGGGUUGGCAGAGGGAGGGUAGGAGCAGCCGGAGACUCUGCUCUACCAGGGGAAUACGGAGGUGGGGACCAAACCCAGGGUAAGGAAUGAAAGUAGGAGCCCCAAAAGCUGAAAACAUACUUCAGCGAUGUCAGCAUUUUACCCAGAGCCAUUCCAAGGUGACCAUAACUCACUUAAAAGCCUGAAAGCUGUUUUAUGCCAACAAAUAAAGUGCAGUUUAAUAAAAAA